AAUAAAGUAGACAAGAUACUAAUCCUUAUGGAGCUCUGUGUCUAGUGAACAUGAAAAAGAUAUAUGAAUGAAACAUGGUUAAGGAAAGACACGGUUAGAGGAGAACUGAAGGAAAGAUAGAAACCCAUGCUGCCAGGAGGAGUUGGGAUCUUUUCUGUUGUGUCUCAGAACUUCAGGGUUAAGACCCUUCCUGGGUGAUGGAUAAAGGAAGUCAUUGUCCAGAUGAAAGACUCAUGAACUUGGAGACAGGAAUGAAGCCAUUGAAGCAACUUGGACGUCGGGAAUUCACUGAAGACCAGACUAAAGAGGGGCUUGUUCUAAUAGAAAUUCAUCUAAAAAGUUGGAGAUUCUGUAGAAGAUCUGAUGAAGAGGGCCAAUCACUGAGGAAAAAUGGAUAGCAUCCUAAAACAGUGGGUAGUAAGGGAACCGGUAUGUCUGAUCUUUUAAAGGAAAGAGCAAUUAAAGAAAUCCUUACAGAUUCCUCCUGGCUGAAUUGUAGGCUCAAUUUCUUUAGAGUAUCUUCUGCUACCAUCAAGCUUGCUGACACCUGUCUCUCUGAAUCA
rnacentral:lncRNA from 1 species